GCGCCAGGGACUGGCGGCGGCUUUAUACAUGCAGUCGAGCGAGAAGCAUCCUUCGGGAUGUGGGCAGCGGCGGACGGGUGAGUAACGCGUGGGAACCUACCUAGCAGCGGGGGACAACCAUUGGAAACGAUGGCUAAUACCGCAUACGCCCUUCGGGGGAAAGAUUUAUCACUGUUAGAUGGGCCCGCGUUAGAUUAGAUAGUUGGUGGGGUAAUGGCCUACCAAGUCUACGAUCUAUAGCUGGUUUGAGAGGAUGAUCAGCCACACUGGAACUGAGACACGGUCCAGACUCCUACGGGAGGCAGCAGUAGGGAAUAUUGCACAAUGGAGGAAACUCUGAUGCAGCCAUGCCGCGUGAGUGAAGAAGGCCCUAGGGUUGUAAAGCUCUUUCAAUGGUGAAGAUGAUGACGGUAACCAUAGAAGAAGCUCCGGCUAACUUCGUGCCAGCAGCCGCGGUAAUACGAAGGGAGCUAGCGUUGUUCGGAAUUACUGGGCGUAAAGAGCACGUAGGCGGACAUAUAAGUCAGGGGUGAAAUCCCGAGGCUCAACCUCGGAACUGCCCUUGAAACUAUGUGUCUAGAGACCAUAAGGGGAUAGCGGAAUACCUAGUGUAGAGGUGAAAUUCGUAGAUAUUAGGUGGAACACCAGUGGCGAAGGCGGCUAUCUGGUAUGGUACUGACGCUGAGGUGCGAAAGCGUGGGGAGCGAACAGGAUUAGAUACCCUGAUAGUCCACGCCGUAAACGAUGUUCAUUAGUCGUCAGGCAUAAGCUUGGUGACGCAGCUAACGCAUUAAAUGAACGCUGGGGAGUACGGUCGCAGGAUUAAAACUCAAUGAUGACGAACGGCGAAUCAGCACACUGGCGACGUACUAGUGAUCGAGCUCGUACAGCUGAUGCAUAGCUGAGUAUUCUAUACGUCACUAAUAGCUGCGUAAUCAUG
rnacentral:rRNA from 1 species